rnacentral:tRNA from 2 species
GGGCGUGUGGCCUAGCUAGGAUAUGGCGGCAGCCUCCUAAGCUGCAAAUCACGGGUUCAAAUCCCGUCACGCCCG